CCAGAGGGCCGGGCGGCCGCGGCCUCGUCGCAAGACGGGGGCGAGGAAAGUCCGGGCUCCACGGAAUGACGGUGCCGGGUAACGCCCGGCGGGGGCGACCCCAGGGACAGUGCCACAGAGAGCAGACCGCCCCGCGCCUCGGCACGGGGUAAGGGUGAAAGGGUGCGGUAAGAGCGCACCGCGCGGCCGGUAACGGAAGCGGCAUGGUAAACCCCACCGGGAGCAAGACCGAAUAGGGACGGCAUAUGGCCUCAUUCCGGCCGGUCGUCCGGGUUGGUUGCUUGACCCCCGAUGCGAAUCGGGGGCUAGAGGAAUGGUCGCCCAGUCCCGGUUCGCCGGGACGGACAGAACCCGGCUUACAGGCCCUCUGGCACU
rnacentral:RNase_P_RNA from 1 species